ACAUGCAGUCGANGCUCACUUCGGUGAGAGUGGCAGANGGGUGAGUAACGNNNNNNNNAUAUACCUAUCAGUACGGAACAACAGUUGGAAANNNNUGCUAAUACCGUAUACGCCCUCCGGGGGAAAGAUUCAUCGCUGAUAGAUUAGCCCGCGUUAGAUUAGCUAGUUGGUGGGGUAAAGGCCUACCAAGGCGACGAUCUAUAGCUGGUCUGAGAGGAUGAUCAGCCACACUGGGACUGAGACACGGCCCAGACUCCUACGGGAGGCAGCAGUGGGGAAUAUUGGACAAUGGGCGCAAGCCUGAUCCAGCCAUGCCGCGUGUGUGAUGAAGGCCUUAGGGUUGUAAAGCACUUUCAACGGUGAAGAUAAUGACGGUAACCGUAGAAGAAGCCCCGGCUAACUUCGUGCCAGCAGCCGCGGUAAUACGAAGGGGGCUAGCGUUGUUCGGAAUUACUGGGCGUAAAGCGCACGUAGGCGGAUUGAUCAGUUAGAGGUGAAAUCCCGGGGCUCAACCCCGGAACUGCCUUUAAUACUGUCAAUCUAGAGAUCGAGAGAGGUGAGUGGAAUUCCGAGUGUAGAGGUGAAAUUCGUAGAUNUUCGGNGGAACACCAGUGGCGAANNNGGNUCACUNNNUCGAUACUGACGCUNANGUGCGAAAGCGUG
rnacentral:rRNA from 1 species